AUUGAACGCUGGCGGCAUGCUUUACACAUGCAAGUCGAACGGCAGCGGGGUAGUGCUUGCACUACUGCCGGCGAGUGGCGAACGGGUGAGUAAUAUAUCGGAACGUACCGAGUAAUGGGGGAUAACCAAUCGAAAGAUUGGCUAAUACCGCAUACGUCCUAAGGGAGAAAGCGGGGGAUCGCAAGACCUCGCGUUAUUCGAGCGGCCGAUAACUGAUUAGCUAGUUGGUGGGGUAAAGGCCUACCAAGGCGACGAUCAGUAGCGGGUCUGAGAGGACGAUCCGCCACACUGGGACUGAGACACGGCCCAGACUCCUACGGGAGGCAGCAGUGGGGAAUUUUGGACAAUGGGGGCAACCCUGAUCCAGCCAUGCCGCGUGUAUGAAGAAGGCCUUCGGGUUGUAAAGUACUUUUGUUAGGGAAGAAAAGGGAAGUGCUAAUACCACUUUUUGCUGACGGUACCUAAAGAAUAAGCACCGGCUAACUACGUGCCAGCAGCCGCGGUAAUACGUAGGGUGCGAGCGUUAAUCGGAAUUACUGGGCGUAAAGCGAGCGCAGACGGUUACUUAAGCAGGAUGUGAAAUCCCCGGGCUUAACCUGGGAACUGCGUUCUGAACUGGGUAGCUAGAGUAUGUCAGAGGGGGGUAGAAUUCCACGUGUAGCAGUGAAAUGCGUAGAGAUGUGGAGGAAUACCGAUGGCGAAGGCAGCCCCCUGGGGAUGAUACUGGCGUUCAUGCUCGAAAGCGUGGGUAGCAAACAGG
rnacentral:rRNA from 1 species